UGGGGAAUAUUGGACAAUGGGGGAAACCCUGAUCCAGCAAUGCCGCGCGAGUGAAGAAGGCCUUAGGGUUGUAAAGCUCUUUCGCCCGCGACGAUGAUGACGGUAGCGGGAGAAGAAGCCCCGGCUAAUUCCGUGCCAGCAGCCGCGGUAAUACGGAAGGGGCGAGCGUUGUUCGGAAUCACUGGGCGUAAAGCGCGCGUAGGCGGCUUGGCAAGUGCGGCGUGAAAGUCCUGGGCUCAACCUGGGGACGGCGCUGCGGACUGCCUGGCUGGGAGUCCGGAAGAGGGUGGUGGAAUUCCGAGUGUAGAGGUGAAAUUCGUAGAUAUUCGGAGGAACACGGUGGCGAAGGCGGCCACCUGGUCCGGCACUGACGCUCAAGCGCGAAAGCGUGGGGAGCAAACAGGAUUAGAUACCCUGGUAGUCCACGCCGUAAAACGAUGGGUGCUAGAUGGUCGGGGGGCUUGCCCUUCGGUGUCGGAGCUAACGCGUUAAGCA
rnacentral:rRNA from 1 species